rnacentral:rRNA from 1 species
AUGGUUCAGGAUGAACGCUACCGGCAGGCCUAACACAUGCAAGUCGAGGGGUAACAGGGAGAAGCUUGCUUUUCCGCUGACGACCGGCGCACGGGUGCGUAACGCGUAUACAAUCUGCCUUAUACUGGGGUAUAGCCUUUAGAAAUGAAGAUUAAUCCCCCAUAGUCUCUUAGAGUGGCAUCAUUUUAGGAGUAAAGGUUACGGUAUAAGAUGAGUAUGCGUUCUAUUAGUUUGUUGGUGAGGUAACGGCUCACCAAGGCUACGAUAGAUAGGGGCCCUGAGAGGGGGAUCCCCCACACUGGUACUGAGACACGGACCAGACUCCUACGGGAGGCAGCAGUGAGGAAUAUUGGACAAUGGAGGCAACUCUGAUCCAGCCAUGCCGCGUGCAGGAAGACUGCCCUAUGGGUUGUAAACUGCUUUUAUAUAGGAAGAAACCUACUUACGUGUAAGUAGCUGACGGUACUAUAAGAAUAAGGAUCGGCUAACUCCGUG